CUUGUUAAGAACCCCGGAGAUAAUGUUGCAAUAUUACCCCUAAACCCCCUACCAGAGGCUACAUACCACCCGCACUCGUUGAUACCUGGUUUUCUCUAAAACCAGUCUAACUGCCCAAGCAAAAAGCUGGUAAAGCAAAUUAAGGAAAAGCUUAAUCUGCCCCCCCCUUGGGAACAAAAAAAUUCUACACCCCAGGUAGGCCCAAAACCAGCCAACCAAAAAACACGUUCUAGUGCUCUCCCAAAAAAUUUUCCAUUUCCUUCCCACCCCACAAGAGAAUAGUCUGGCCCCUCACCCCCAAACAAACCUAUGCAAAGACUAGUAUUUCCCCCAAACAUAUAGAAGGAACUCGGCAAACCCCUACUUCGACUGUUUAACAAAAACAUUGCCUGAGGCAAAAACUAUCUCAGGUAAACCCUGCCCAGUGAUGCGUUUAACGGCCGCGGUACCCUGACCGUGCAAAGGUAGCAAAAUCAUUUGCCUCUUAAUUAGAGGCUUGUAUGAACGGGUAAACGAAAGUUAAGCUGUCUCCUAUAUGCACCUAAAAACUUCUCUUCAGGUGAAGAAGCCUGAAUUCUAAUAAAAGACAAGAAGACCCUGCGAGCUUUCUCCAACCCGGACAAAACCCUCCGGGAAGGAUGUUUAUUGGGGCAAUAAUGGAGCACAAAAAACCUCCACCACAAUCACGACAUCUAGUCUCCCAAACGACCCUACAAAGAUCAAAGGCAGAGCUACCGCAGGGAUAACAGACUAAUUUUCCUCUAGAGCCCAAAUCUACAGGAAAGUUUGGCACCUCGAUGUUGGCUUAAGGAAAUUUUUAGAUGCAUCAGUCUAACUAAUGGGUUUGUUCAACCCUUAAAUCCUUACAUGAG
rnacentral:rRNA from 1 species